rnacentral:rRNA from 1 species
GAUGAACGCUGGCGGCGUGCCUAAUACAUGCAAGUCGAGCGAACAGACGAGGAUCUUGCUCCUCUGACGUUAGCGGCGGACGGGUGAGUCACACGUGGAUAACCUACCUAUAAGACUGGGAUAACUUCGGGAAACCGGAGCUAAUACCGGAUAAUAUAGUGAACCGCAUGGUUCAAUAGUGAAAGACGGUUUUGCUGUCCCUUAUACAUGGAUCCGCGCCACAUUAGCUAGUUGGUAAGGUAACGGCUUACCAAGGCAACGAUGCGUAGCCGACCUGAGAGGGUGAUCGGCCACACUGGAACUGAGACACGGUCCAGACUCCUACGGGAGGCAGCAGUAGGGAAUCUUCGGCAAUGGGCGAAAGCCUGACGGAGCAACGCCGCGUGAGUGAUGAAGGUCUUCGGAUCGUAAAACUCUGUUAUUAGGGAAGAACAACUGUGUAAGUAAAUAUGGACGUCUUGACGGUACCUGAUCAGAAAGCAACGGCUAACUACGUG